rnacentral:lncRNA from 1 species
GGCAGUGGCAGCACGGAGUGAGAAUGGCUAGGAUGGGAAAAUUCUGGGGUCUAUGACUUCACAUGGAGCUCAGGAGAGGGGGCAUCCAGCCUGCUCCUGGAUGCCAAGAAGGCUGCAUGGAGGAAGCAGCAUCUAGGCAGGAAGGAUGAAUGAGUUUGGCAGAGGCAAUAGAAAAGAUAUGUGCAAGGCAGUGGAAACAGCCUGUACAAAGGCUUGGAGUCUUCAGAAGUUACUGAGGGCCACUCAUCUGGGGCAGCUCACCCUUGGCUGUUUGGCUGCAUUUCGUUCUGUGACUGCAUCAGGCUCAGAGAGUCCGAGCAUUGGCUCAGCCUUAAGGGAGACUACGGAUUGGACUAGAGGUGUCCCUGUAGACGGAAGCCAGCUCUAGAAGCUGAUUGAACUCGAGUCCACAGUGAUGCGGUGUGACCAGAUGUUAUCGCCUGCAGAGGCCCCGGGACCUGGCCGUCCCCUUCGUGAUGCUGAGAUGGAACAGCAGGGUCAGCACCUGAAACCCUGUGUCAUCCGCGUGUGUUCCCGCGUUUGGGUCUUCUUCCUCAGAAGGAAGCUACGCCGGCGCAGGAGGCAUCGGUCCUCGGACAUCUGAGUGAGAGACUCCAGAACGCAGGCCAGGAGGGCGAGCAGGCAGUGUCACAGCGGGGCGGGCGGAGGAGGGCGUGGAGGAGAAGACCCAGGGGCUGGGACAGUGGCCCAUUCUGGAAGGACGGCUGUCAGGUGUGUGGGGGGCCCGGUGCGAGGCGGGAAGGGGAGCGUGAGGCCAUGGAGGCCCCAGGGCAGGAGCCCAGAGAAGCACCCUCUGUGCUGUGCUUCCUGAGGAGCCGGCCUCCAUCCUGGGGGUCGUGGGGCCACGGGAUCUCUGUGCUCCCCACUCCAUCCCUAAACUCCUGGAGGGAGCCUGCUCCUCCUCGGAGCACCCGCAGUCCCGGGGACUCGGCCUCUUUCUGAGCCGGCGCUCCUCACUCCCUCUCUCUCACUAAUUGCUCUGUUUUCCUUCCACUUCACAAGUGGGUUGGCUGGUAACACUGAAGUCUGUUUUAUAUACAUAUAGAUAGUCAGCAAACACAAAAUGUGUGGUGAGCUACGUUCCAUCUUUGUGUUAACACACAAAAGCAAGAAAGUUCCAAGUUAGAGCAUCUGCAGUUCAGCCCCGUGUGCAGCAAGCCAUAUGGCGUAAACAUGCAUUGGAAGACAGCAGAAGCGCAUCCUCGCGGCCUCCCCGAAGAGCCCCCGCAGCGAGCACGGCCACAGCCCCCCGCCUGUCCUAGCCACGGCUAGCCAGUGUUCGCUCAUUCAUUCAUCAGACAUUCAGUGAACUCCUGUCCUGUGCUGAGGACCAUCCCCUCACCAGGGGUAAGGGGACCAGGACAGGCAGGGAUCUGUCCUCAGUGGAAGAGGGGUCAGGACGCCAGUGAGUAAACCAGUAGAUGAACACGAUAGGACGGGUCCCACCAGUUACAAGAACUGGUGUGGAGGUAAGCGGGGGAUGUGAUGGGGCCCACAGAGAAGGGGCGCAUCACUCAGGUGAGCGGUUCCGGAGGGCUCUUCUCCACAGGAGCUGUUUGAGCGGAGGCCUGAAGCAUGAGGAAAAUCCAGCAAGAGCUGUGGGGAGAGUACCCAGGCUGAGGGGACAGUGUAUGCAAAGGGCCAGUGUGGGAAUGACUUUAGUGUGUUGGUGGCACAGCGGGGUGGCUGGAGUGAGGGAGGGAGAGGGGUGAGCCAAGGGGGCGAGAGGCAGGCAGGACGGGGGCCCGGCCGCUGCGUGGAGUAGGGAGUUUGGACUUUCCCCUAAUGCUGCUGGAAGCCCUUGAAGUGUUUAAGCAGGAGAGUGCCUCAUCUGAUUGACACAUGGAAACAUCACUCCGCUGCAGAGCAUGGACAGGAGAAGCGGGCCUGUCCUGGAGGCAGAGAGACCAGGGUCCCAAGCCAGGCAGGACGGCCGCGCCGCCUAAGCUGCAGCAAGGUGGCGUGGACACUCGGGGUCGCGUGUUUGCAAGUACAGUGGGGGCGCUGCCAGCGCCUGCUGAGAAAGAAGGCACACCCACAGCUCCCACUCCCUGCAGGCCAGGGCCCUGUUGGGGUCCCUCUCGGGGAAGACCUGGUCUUCCUUCCUGGCCCCUCGCCUCCGUGUCAUGAGCAUAGUGACAUGUCACAGUCGUUCUGCCAGGUGGAAGUUCAGGGAGGGGAGGCCCCUGCCUAAGAGCACGCGGUGACCGGGACCCCCUCUGGAGGAUCCCUCCCCACAGACUGCCAGGCCCCUGGCUGUCGUUGGUGGCGGGGCCCGUUGCCUCCCCUGGGCAGAGGUAAGAGCUGGCUGUGGCUGGGAUCAGGAGGCAGAGCCCAGAGUGCUGAGCAGCGUUAGGAGGUGCCCGGGCUCGGGGGCUGCAUCCCUGGCCUCCGUUGGUGGCUGCCCAGGGCUGCCAGAGAGGCGCGCUGUGGCCAGGUGGCUCUCUGGUCCGGGUGAUCCCAGUGGGUGGACAGGCCCCUGCAGGGCAGCCAGGGCAGUGGGGUCCCCGCAGGGCCGCCAGCUCAUGUCCUCUGCUACCGCAGACGGCCCCUUGCGAAGCCACAGCUUUCCUUUCCUAAAGCAGGAGCAGCCUAAGGCCCAGGGCCCCCUGGGGGGGCUCCCUUUGCGCGCCAACAGCUGAAGGGGCAGAGAUGAAUGCACCCCUCCUCCCAGAAGCCCGGCCUGCUGGACGGCCUGCAUCGACCACGCUGGGUGCCUCGCGUCUGUGCCUCCAACCGCGCGGCGCCUCUCCAGUGUGCCCAGGCCAGACACAGUCCUGCCUGGGGGUCCACAGGCGUGCCCCUGCCCGGACUGGGUUGGGAACGCUGGGGAGAGCCGGCGGUGCCAGGGCGGCAUGUAACACACACCGUCCUUGACAGCCUCAGGCCGACCCCGUGUCAGGGCCACUCCAGACCAGACAUGGCCAUGGAGGUCACAGCAGCCCUCAAGGUUGCCAGCUGGGCACGGUGGAGCACGGGCACACACUGAAAACAGGAACAGGGUUCUGUGGACCCUGAACUGUACCCAGGAGGAGGGCAGAUGGGGAGGAAGGCUCCUCUGAGGAGCUGAGGCUUGAGCUGACAGAACGACUCUAAUGACACCCUUCACUGGGGGGAGAAUCCGGAGACAUUCAAGGUCUUGGGAAGUAACACAAAGGCAAAGUGACAUUUUUUCUCUGACUUUUGUAUGUCGAAUAUAUCAAAAUAUCGAAAGAACAGUAUCAUGAACACCUGUUAACUUCAACCUGGAAUCAUCUGCUGUUGAUAUUUUGCUGUAGCUGCUUUUUCUCACCAUUUCUGUGCUCUCACACCCACAUUCACACGCGCAUGCACACAAACACAUUGUUUGCCGUCCAUCAUGACAGUUGCAGACAUCAGGACACUUCACCCUAAACACUUCUGCUUGUUCUCCCUAAGAAGAAGGACAUUCUCCUCAUAAACACCAUAGCAUUUUCACACCUAUGAACCUUAACAAUUAUCCCAUAGAACUGUUUGAUAUCUAAUCCGUGUCCAAUUCCCCCAGUUGUCCCCGGAUUUCUGUUUUCAGCCAAGAUCCAGUCAAAGUCCUGCGCUGCUGUUGGUUGUUGGCUCUGCUCCUUGGUCCCUUUCGGCGCAGAGCAGCCCCUGCCCCACCCCAUUCUUGCCGUGACGUUGGCUCUUUGACAAGCCCAGGCCAGUCAUCUUGUAGGACCUCGUCUGCUCUGGCUUUGGGUGAUGGUUGCCAUUCUUUUGCUUUUUCUCUUUUGAGCAGCUUUAUCGAGAUAUGGUUCACAUACCAUACGUUCACCCAUUUAAAGUGAACAAUUCAGUGGCUUUCUGUAUAUUCACAGAUAUGUGCAACCUUCACCACAGUCAAUUUUAGAACCUUCUCAUCACCUCAAAGAAACCUGUCCCCCGUUCCUCAUCCCCCAGCCCUGAACAGCCCCUGAUGGGUUUUGUUUCUUCAGAUUUGUCGUGAGAAUGGAAUCACACAGUGUGUGGUCUUUUGUGACUGGCUCCCUCCACUUAGCAUAAUGUUUUCGACGUUCUUCCAUGGAGCAUUCCCUUUUAUGAUCAAAUAACGUUGCAUUGUGUGGGUACCCCACGCUCCGUUCAUCCGUUCGCCCGCUGAUGGAUGUCUGGGUUGCUGCCACCUUUUGGCUAUUGUGAGUAGCGCUGCUGUGAGCACUUGGGUGCAGGCUUCUGCGCGGGCGUGGGUUUUCGCCUCUCUUGGGCGUAUGUGCCCAGGAGUGGAAUGGCUGGGUCAGAUGGUAUCUCCAUGUUUAGCCACUUGAGGAACUGCCAGGCUGUUUCCCAAAGCAGCGGCACCAUUUUGCAUCCUUCUCUCGGCAGCGUGUGAGGGCUCCCAUUUCUCUGCAUCCUGCCCGGCGCUUGUCAUUAUCUGACUCUGUGAUGCGGUUCUUCCCACCUUCCUCGCUGGAGGCUCCUCUCUGAGCGGCCAGCUCCCCUCCUGCAGCCUCAGCCCCUGGCCUAGGCCUCCCCAGCCCCAGACUGGGGAGGAUGCAAAUGGCACGUGGGACUGCAUGGCAGUGCUGUCUCAUCUUUGUAGUUCCCCAGAUCCCACUCUUUCCUACCACACUUUCACUCAGCGCCUCCAAAAGAUCCCCAGGAAGCAGCAGGGCACGAGUUGUUAAGUCAGGGAAGCUGAGGCCUCAGAGGGGUGAAGGUUGCUGGAGACCGGGCCAGGGCUCCUGGGCCUGCCCUCUGGGUGCUGCGGCUGCCCUGCUGGCCCUGCAGGCUGUCCUGUGUGGCACUGGGGAAGGUGGCAGGAACGAGGAGUCUCCGGAGAACAGGUGACCCAGGAAGCAAGCCUCUACUCCAAAUUGCGUCCCAGAGCCCCUCCCGAAGAAUGCUUUUGCUGCCCCCCACUGUUUACCAAGGAGGUGCCGACGCCCUGGGGACCAGGCAUCUCGGGGAACAGCCAGGCUGAAUGAAGCAGCCUGUGGCCCAGCCUGAAAGGCUUAGGGCUCGGCCAGCUUGAGGAGGCCAGGCACGACAUGGUGGGCCAGCCUCUGCCAGCCUGUUGGGACUGCAGCCAGGCUUCUCCCCUCGGGAUGGUGCCCGAGUCAGAGCAAGGCUGCCCUCCUACGUGACUGCCCACCCCGGGCUGCAGCCUUGGGGUCUGUGUUCCCGCUGACCAGGUAAGGCUGGAGCAGGGAGGGUCUACCCUGGUAGGGACGCCCCUCCUAGAGCCCAGGUCUCCUAUCCCACCCCUGCCCCGACCCUGAUGCCCCUGGGACUCUAACCUCCUCUUCUUUCCUCCUGCUGUUUCUUUCCUAGCCUGUGUGUCUGUCCAUCUUCAUCUGUCACCAUCCCAUUCAAGGCCCGGCCGCACGCCACCUCCUCCAGAGAGCCAUCCUCCCUCUGCCCUCCUCUGAAUCGCAUGGACAUCUGCACCUUCUGGCGCCUACUGCUCUGUGUUCUAGGUGAUCGGGCCUGUGACUUAUGGUCCUAACGGAUACCAAGUGUUCUCCUUGAGGACAGGACCAGUCCCGCUCACCUCUGCCUUCAUUAUUAUUUGGUCAGAAUUAUUUUGGUUGCCAGUAACAGCAUCUUAGCUCAAACUGGCACUUUACUGAUGCAUGUUACUGAAAGUCUCGGGGCUUCAGGUACAGCUGGGUCCAGGGCCGCAUUCAUCAGGGCUGUGUCCAUCUCUUGGUCUUGCUGUCUGGCAGGUUCUCCCCAUGUGGUGAGGAUGGCCAGCUCAGCUAUCCCAGCAGAAGCCCCAGACUUGGCGUCCAUUGGUUGGGCUUGGGGCAUGUGCCCACUCCUGUGUGAGUGAUUGUCCACAGAGCAGCUGUUCUGAUUGGUCAGGCUUGCAUCAUGUACUCACCUUAGAGUUGGGGGUGCUGCCAUGGACCAAGAGUAGGGGGCAGGGUGCCUCCCAAGGGAAAUUGUGACCGCUGGGGGGCGAAACUGUAGGAGCCCCAGAGAUGAUCCUCCCUGACUCCUUCCCGACUCUUGUUGCCCCAUUCGGGGGUCGGCAGGUCUUACAUACCUCCCUCCUGGGGACUUCUCGCACUCGGUCCUUGUUCUCAUCAGGAACUUGCCCCCUGCCCCACUCCGCUCCCAGCCCACCAUUGUCCACCCUCCCUGCAGCAGCCAAAGGGGACUUCCUAAAGCAUAAGCAAAUCACAUCCUGCCUAAAACCCUCGAUGGCUCCCCAUUUCCCCCUGAACGAAGUCCAUUCUUCUUAAGAAAGCAUGCCCAGCCCUUGGUGAUCUGGGCCCGUGCCCCUCCAGCCCCGUUUCCCUCUGUUCCUUCCUCCCUCUGGGACUCAAUGCUCUAAGCUCCUCAAACCACCUCGAGUUGCCCCAUGCCUCUGCCUGGGAUGCCCUUUCCCAGCUUGUCUGACUGGCAAAUCCUUCCUCUUCAAUACCCAGUUCUGUCAUCAUCUCCUCCAGGAAGGCUUCCAGGACUUCCGUGAGUAGUUAAGACUGCCAUCUGCUAGGCAGCCACAGCUGUUCUUCCCUCUGAGCCAGGCCAACUGGGGAUUUCACCCUCUGGCCCCUGCUUGCCCUUGAGUGCUUCUUCCCGCUCCCUCCCCGGUGCCUAGCUUGGAGCCAGGCCCAGCGAUGGCUCCUGGGCAGUGCCUGUUGACAGAUCUGAGGGCCCAAGGGAGUGGGGAACCUGGGUGGGCCCUGACUGCCCUGGGGAAGACGGAGUUACAAGCUUCCUGCUGAGGCCCCUUUUGCCCUCAGCUUAGAAGCCACCUCCUUCACAUGGCCUUCCCGGCCCAGCCUCUGAGAUGUCGCCCUCCAGUCACCUUAUCAUAUCUCUGGUUGUAGCCUGGCUGCUAUUUUCCCUGUUUGUUUACUUCUUGUCUCUUUCAGCCCCUGACACUCACGAGCUUGUCAGUUCCACGAGAGCAGAUUUCAGGAUCUGCCCUCUUCCAGUACUUGGCAUGGUACCCCUCACCAAAGGGGCCCAGGAAAUGGUCACUAAAUGAAUGACCUCCGGCACCCUCCCCGUUGGACCCACCUUUGGGAGGAAUUGUCAUGGUUCCCAGGUUGAGGGGGCUGGUUCCAAUGGGGGAAGCUCCAGUUGCCUUGGUGGCCCUCUCCCCUGGGGACCCCCGUCUACCUCACAGCCCAAGCCUUUGGAUGGCAGAGGUAUUGGAAUGACUCAUUCCAGGUGGGGCAUCUCAAGACCUAAUUCUCAGCAAAACUCCCAAUAACACCAAAGCAGAAGAACCUGCAGGUGGUGGGGACGGGCUGAGCUCCCCUGCCCCGGCUCCCUCUAGCUGACCUUCCAGGAGGCUCACAGGCUCCCCUAGCCUCACCAUCCUGUCUGUACAGCCUUGGGCCUUGCCUUCUCUUUCUCCCCCCCUCUCCCCGCUCUGCUCUCUUUCUUUAUCUUCUUCCUUUUCCCCUAUCAUCUUCCCCAUCCACUGCACAGCAGAUGGCACAGAGUAGGUGCACAACAGCUAUCUGUUAGUUGGUUCAAUUUAUAACAUUUUCCUUUUAUUGGGAAAGAGAUGGAGAUACCCCCUCCCAACCUUUCCCCUCAUCUUCCUCCACGGCCAAGGUUCCUGAUGCAGAGUGACUUGACACCUAGGUGUCAGUCCGCCCCUUCUCUUUCGUUUGGUUCAUUUGUCCAUCCACUCAUCUAACUAUCCACCCAUCCAUCCAUCUCUCCAUCCAUCCACCCAUCUAUCCAUCUGUCCAUCCGUCUACUCAUCCCUCCAUCCCUCCAUCCAUCUACUGGGCAUGGACUGGCCCUGGAUUAACGUGACACAGUAGGCGGGGCAGUGAGUGGAGGGAUAAGACAAACGCACACCCAGAUGUACUGGAAGUGGGGACUACAAACUCAGGUGCAGGUGGGAACCGAAGUAAGCUGGGUGUAGGACAGCCAGGAUGGUGCCUGCACAGGUAUGGAACUUCUGAACCCCUAGGCUCACAUCACAAAAUACCUCCUCAGCCUGCUAAUGGUCUGCUGGCUGUCAGUCUGUGAGUCCCACCUGGAGCGACAACAGGAAGCCCAGCCAAGGGGGAUACCUCACAUGGUUGGGGGCAGGAAUGGGGGCACUAGGCAGGGCUUCCUGGAAGAGGAGACAUUUGCACUGGACCUGAAGGCUGAGUCCACAAGCCCAGGAUGGAGGCUUUGCAAGGAGAGGGAGUGGCCUCCUGGCAUCACAUUUCCUGGCCCAAACACAAUGUUUGUAUGUUCAUGGACAGCCUCUGACUGUCCUGCUGCUUCCUCUCCCUCCUUCAACUCAAGGGCGAAGGAGAGUGACUGCCUGCUGUUCCGCUCCUCUCUGCCCAGGUGCCCAAUGGCACUGUGGAGGAGAAGCACGCGCACCUGAACAAGAACUCAUGGGCAGGGGCCUCGUCUGUCUUGUUCACUGCUACAGCCAGGACCUAGAGCAGGCGCUCAGUGAACACUUGCUGGGUGACCAAACGGCUGGAGAUGGCCCACACUGAAUGAAGGAAUGCACAGAUGAGGCGGGUCAGCAGGCUUCAUAGCGAUUUGGGGUGGGUGGACUGUCCUAGCUCAGACUGCGAUGGGGAAGGCAAGGGCAGAAACCAGCUUAUUUUGCUUUUCCUUUCUUUUAAAGGAAUUAUUAGUCUUUAGUUAGAGAAGCAUGCACAACUGCAUCCUCGUGGUCAGAAAAAGGAUGCAGACACUACAGGGCAGGCCCAAGGCCCCCUGUCUCCCCAGCUCCAGACCUCACUCCGGUUCCACAGGUGGACGUGGUGGAGUGUUCCCUUCCACCGCCUUCUCUGCACGUUUGAUGGAUUUGUGUGCGUGUGUGUGUCGUGUGUGUUUGGUGCCUGUGUGUGGAUGUGGCCAAUCACAAUACAUGGCAUCGUUUUGUCAGAUUAAAAAAAAAAAAUAGGUGGAAUUGCACGGUGUGUGCUGUCUGCACCUUCCUUCUUUAGGCUUGCUUUCUUUUUCGGGAAUAGCAUUUCCUGGAGCUUCCUUUUCACAGGGCACCCUUGUCCUUUUUCCUCGCUGCUGCCGUAGCCUGAGGUUGCACAGCUCCUUUUUGUCUUGACCCUCCUGCUGUCAACUUAGGAUGCUCCUAAUAUUUGUUCCCGUGGAGACAGUGUCCGCAAAUGUACUUCUGCCCCCCUCCUUGUGUCCCCGUGUCAUUUCUGGGUCAUGGAUUGGCAUGGCUAUCUCUUUCCUGAUGAUCCCAAAGGAAAGAAGGCCCCUCCGUGCUGCCCUGCCCAUACCCGCCUGUCCUUUGAGCCUCGGUGUCAGGGAGGCCCUGGAAGAACAGGCCCUGGAGAUGAGGAGUACAGGUGUGAAGGGCCCGGUCCCUGGAGGAGGGGCCUUCUGACAGGGCCUUGACUCAGGCUGGAGGUACUUCCCCAGUACCCACUCUGCGCCAGGCCCAGGACACGGCACUGAGGUGUAUUGGCAGCCCCAUGCCUGCUUCGUGGGGCUCCCAGUCCACCACGUGUUUGUGUAGGUGCUGGGCUGGGGGCCCGAGGUAAGGACUGGGUGGGGUGGCUGCCAACCCCAUAAUGGUGGCCUGGAACGAGUGACUUCUGUAGGAUCACAGAGACUGGGCACGUGAGGAGGUGGAAGAUCACUUCACCUCCUCCUGCCCAGCACCUCUGCAGUCUGAUGCCCAGUGCUCACAAGCCCUCCACGCUCCCCUGUCUUCGGCCCCUCCCUUCAUCCAGCACUGAAAAGCAUCUCUAAUUCCGGCGGGCACCGUGGUUGUAGCUCUGUGGCAAGCUCGGCACAGGUGCCAACUGUUAUUCACUCUGCAGCUUCCAUUCCCACAGCUCAGCACCUGCAAAGCCCCCAUUAGCAUCGUGCCAAGGAGAGGGGCUGCGGCUGUGUGUGUGCGUGCCUGCGUGCGAGCGCACGUGCCCGUCUGCCGGUGCUCGCGGGAGCCACGAGGGAAAUUUCCAGCACAAAGAUCGUAUGCCUGAGAGAGAGGAGAAUUGCUCAGCAAACUUCAGAAGCGAUCAAAAUGUCCUCUCCAUAAAGUCCCGGCUUAAAAAAUGUUAGCAGCAGUGCUUACUGAGUGCCUCGUGUGCAGGGCCCUCUUCCAGGCCCUGUGCUCAUGGCGAUGCUGAGGUCCCUCCCGUGGGGAGAAGCAGGCAAUAACGAAGGGACGAAGGGAAGGAGCGAUCACUGCUACAGAGGAAGGAAAUCAGAGUGACUGGAAGCGGCUAGUCAGGGAAGGCUCUGUGAGGGACUCUGGAGCCCAGCAGCCUGACAAGAAGGGGCCAGCUCGAGGGAGACAGCCAGGGAGGGAGUGGCAGGAGCCGUGCUCUGGGUCCUGUGGACACUAGUGACGCCUGUGCUGUGAUGUCCAGGGAAUGACCAAGAAGCACGAGGUGCUGGGGCUCAGCCCUCUAGCUGGGACAGGCGGCUUCCAGCGAUGGCUCUGCCACCUACAGCCUUGUGAGCUCAAGAGGCAGGGACUGUUCUGGCAGCUGCCAGCCGGUUCAUGUCCACGAGCCCUCCUCCUCACCAUCAGCGUGCCCCAACGGGGAGCUGGAGGCCCGAGUGCCGGGAAGUCAGCUGCCUCGGAACUGGGCAGCCUGGCCUUCACCCAGGAACCCUCAGAGGACAUGGUGACACCUCCCUCUGUCCCUGUGGAAGCUGCCCCCAGCGCCCCCGCCCCUGCCCUAUGCCAGCUGAACUGGAUGGAGCCGUUGGAAAAUAAAGGCUGAGCGGUGUUGAAAAGC